rnacentral:rRNA from 1 species
UAGGGAAUCUUCGGCAAUGGACGAAAGUCUGACCGAGCAACGCCGCGUGAGUGAAGAAGGUUUUCGGAUCGUAAAACUCUGUUGUUAGAGAAGAACAAGGACGUUAGUAACUGAACGUCCCCUGACGGUAUCUAACCAGAAAGCCACGGCUAACUACGUGCCAGCAGCCGCGGUAAUACGUAGGUGGCAAGCGUUGUCCGGAUUUUUUGGGCGUAAAGCGAGCGCAGGCGGUUUCUUAAGUCUGAUGUGAAAGCCCCCGGCUCAACCGGGGAAGGUCAUUGGAAACUGGGAGACUUGAGUGCAGAAGAGGAGAGUGGAAUUCCAUGUGUAGCGGUAAAAUGCGUAGAUAUAUGGAGGAACACCAGUGGCGAAGGCGGCUCUCUGGUCUGUAACUGACGCUGAGGCUCGAAAGCGUGGGGAGCAAACAGG